AAUGGAAAUAGGUCAGACGGGACUUCCAUGGGGAUCGGGUUCGUGAGAGUGCUAUGCCGAAAACUGUUCCAGGCACUUCACGACCAAGUUCCGCUGGCCGCGUUCGGGAGUUUAAGAUGGCCACCAUCCAUUGUUCUCACCAUGUGCGUUCAUAUGCACAAAAUGGCGGCCACCUAGGAGCAUUCAAUUACUUUGCGGUUUCGUGUGGUUACAUAGUGUUCCAUGUUCUAAUUGCUACCUGUAACGGCUACCCUGGUGUAGAGAGGGUACCAGCCGUUAGGGACGUCCUUUUCUUCCUGGCAGUCGCUGUGUAGUGAUGGAGUCGCCUAUUCCCUUCUGCUGGAACAAGAGUGGAAGCCAGGUGCAGCUCUGAAAAGAGCUA